AGAGAAUUCUGUAGAGUACAGCUCCAUCUGUAAGUAGAUGACAAUUUCUUGGCAACACAGGCUCAGCUGAGGAUGGUGUUUGUGCAUCUAAGCCAUCAUGCUAGAGCAGUUUGCCUACAUUUUUGUGGAACGGCAAAGAGGACCUGCUUGACCACCCUUCUUUCUGUGGGUACUGAAAGAUGAAAAGUCAUGCUGGAUGAGGUUGCUGAGGUGGGAUGAGGGCCAGUAGGAUGCCAUGUAUAGAGAAGGAAAGACUUGGAGCACUCCAUGUGGCCAAAGCUCAAAUCCUAAUGGCCUUGGAUGUCUAAGACCUUGGAUGUCACUUUGCUAGAUUCACUAGCCACAGCUUUCUGGCCACAUGUUCUACCUAGCCUGACAGCUAAAGACAAAAUGUCCUGGAUGCUGGGCCCAGGCUGCUGCUGAAAGUGACAAGCCAGGCACCCUCUUCAGUGCACAUAAGCAGGUAGUCUUUUUUGGAGGUAAGAUGUUCCUUUUUCUUUCAAAAAGGCCUUCCCUAACCUUCUCUCCCAAAGAUGAAUGAGUUGGGAACUCCUAAAUCAGCCUUCAAAGGCAGGCAAAGAAAUGGAUGACAGGCUUCUGGCACCCUCCCCCACCCUGGCUGGAAUUCUCAUCAUGCACAUAGCUGUGACUCAGCACUCACUGCUGGGUCAGGAGAGAGAAGCUAUUGCCUGGCUGGAACCUUCCCACAUUCUGCAUGUGAGCACAUCGAACAGCACAGGCUGGGCCAGCAGGGUGAGGUUCCUGGGGCAAGUAUUUUUCUCCUCUAACCCAUAUUCUUCCCACAUUUUAGGGAUUUCUGUUCUGGGCCCAGGGUAUUUAGGACUCUAAAAACCAUUGCAUCAGCCAUAGACUAAAGUAUACGUAGUCUUUUUCUUCUUUGCUUUUAACCAGUGGCCCAUGAAAAGUGUUCAACCUUUAUUUGUACUGUUUGGCUUUCAUGGGUUGGGUUUUCUAUGUGUUAAUUUUAUAUCUAGACAGAAUAUGACUUUUCAAGAUUACUGUACCUCUCUUGCAUGCUGUUGUUGUCUCUGGCUGUGUGUAUACGUGUGUUCUGACCAGUUUUCCCUAGCUUGUCUUUACAGAUGAAGACACUGAAGCCAUUCAAGACUAUGGCAGGGCCCUGUUCUCAGCAUAUAGACAAGCAGGUGUUCUAAUUUACCAAGGAGUGACAUUGCCUCUCCCUGUCUGCCCCUGCCUUACCAAAGGAGUGACCUGUCAUGGGAGGGUAGAAUGGCUUCCAGAGAGAAAUAAGUAUAGGAACAGAUGGAGGCUGAAGAGUGGCGUCUCAGACUUCUUACCUGCUCUGUGGCCUGUUCAGAACUGAAAAGUGAGGCAGGGUUUCUUUUCUAGACAACUCUAUUAAGCCCAGUAGCAUAAAGUUUACUUGAAGCCACUCAGUUGAGAAGGGAGAUCCCAUUAUUCUCACUGAGAGCAGAGCCCUAACAGCCCUAAGGUUUUCAAGGGCUGCCCUCUUAGACAUUCAGGUAACUCUCAGGCCUGGUGCCAGAGAGCUACAGUCUUCCGGAG
rnacentral:lncRNA from 1 species